rnacentral:rRNA from 1 species
GACGAACGCUGGCGGCGUGCCUAAUACAUGCAAGUUGAGCGCUGAAGGUUAGUACUUGUACCAACUGGAUGAGCAGCGAACGGGUGAGUAACGCGUGGGGAAUCUGCCUUUGAGCGGGGGACAACAUUUGGAAACGAAUGCUAAUACCGCAUAAAAACUUUAAACACAAGUUUUAAGUUUGAAAGAUGCAAUUGCAUCACUCAAAGAUGAUCCCGCGUUGUAUUAGCUAGUUGGUGAGGUAAAGGCUCACCAAGGCGAUGAUACAUAGCCGACCUGAGAGGGUGAUCGGCCACAUUGGGACUGAGACACGGCCCAAACUCCUACGGGAGGCAGCAGUAGGGAAUCUUCGGCAAUGGACGAAAGUCUGACCGAGCAACGCCGCGUGAGUGAAGAAGGUUUUCGGAUCGUAAAACUCUGUUGGUAGAGAAGAACGUUGGUGAGAGUGGAAAGCUCAUCAAGUGACGGUAACUACCCAGAAAGGGACGGCUAACUACGUGCCAGCCGCCGCUGUAAUAC